rnacentral:rRNA from 1 species
UACAGAGGGUGCAAGCGUUGUUCGGAAUCAUUGGGCGUAAAGCGCGAGUAGGCGGCUUCUUAAGUCUGAUGUGAAAGCCCGGGGCUUAACCCCGGAAGUGCAUUGGAUACUGGGAAGCUAGAGGGUGUAAGAGGAGAGUGGAAUUCAUGGUGUAGGGGUGAAAUCCGUAGAUAUCAUGAGGAACAUCAGUGGCGAAGGCGGCUCACUGGACCGGUACUGACGCUGAGGAGCGAAAGCAUGGGUAGCGAACAGG